AGUCUUAAUUGGGCGUUAAGUUGCAGGGUAUAGACCCGAAACCCGGUGAUCUAGCCAUGGGCAGGUUGAAGGUUGGGUAACACUAACUGGAGGACCGAACCGACUAAUGUUGAAAAAUUAGCGGAUGACCUGUGGCUGGGGGUGAAAGGCCAAUCAAACCGGGAGAUAGCUGGUUCUCCCCGAAAGCUAUUUAGGUAGCGCCUCGUGAAUUCAUCUCCGGGGGUAGAGCACUGUUUCGGCUAGGGGGCCAUCCCGGCUUACCAACCCGAUGCAAACUGCGAAUACCGGAGAAUGUUAUCACGGGAGACACACGGCGGGUGCUAACGUCCGUCGUGAAGAGGGAAACAACCCAGACCGCCAGCUAAGGUCCCAAAGUCAUGGUUAAGUGGGAAACGAUGUGGGAAGGCCCAGACAGCCAGGAUGUUGGCUUAGAAGCAGCCAUCAUUUAAAGAAAGCGUAAUAGCUCACUGGUCGAGUCGGCCUGCGCGGAAGAUGUAACGGGGCUAAACCAUGCACCGAAGCUGCGGCAGCGACACUGUGUGU
rnacentral:rRNA from 1 species